rnacentral:rRNA from 1 species
GACGAACGCUGGCGGCGUGCUUAACACAUGCAAGUCGAGCGGUAAGGCCCUUUCGGGGGUACGACGAGCGGCGAACGGGUGAGUAACACGUGGGUGACCUGCCCUCCAGCUCUGGGAUAAGCCUGGGAAACCGGGGUCUAAUACCGGAUAUGACUCCAUGACGCAUGUUGUGGGGUGGAAAGCCUUGUGCGGCUGAGGAUGGGCCCGCGGCCUAUCAGCUUGUUGGUGGGGUGAUGGCCUACCAAGGCGACGACGGGUAGCCGGCCUGAGAGGGCGACCGGCCACACUGGGACUGAGACACGGCCCAGACUCCUACGGGAGGCAGCAGUGGGGAAGUCUUGCGCAAUGGGCGAAAGCCUGACGCAGCGACGCCGCGUGAGGGAUGACGGCCU